rnacentral:rRNA from 1 species
UACGGAGGGUGCAAGCGUUAUCCGGAUUCACUGGGUUUAAAGGGUGCGUAGGCGGUUUGGUAAGUCUCGUGUGAAAUCUACAGGCUCAACUUGUAGUCUGCACGAGAAACUGCCGGGCUUGAGUAUGGGAGAGGUGAGUGGAAUUCCUGGUGUAGCGGUGAAAUGCGUAGAUAUCAGGAGGAACACCUGUGGCGAAGGCGGCGAUCUGGGUCGAUACUGACGCUGAGGUGCGAAAGCGUGGGGAGCAAACAGG